UAAUACCGCAUACGCUCUAUGGAGGAAAGCAGGGGACCCGCAAGGGCCUUGUGCUAGGGGAGCGGCCGAUGUCCGAUUAGCUUGUUGGUGGGGUAACGGCCUACCAAGGCUGCGAUCGGUAGCUGGUCUGAGAGGAUGAUCAGCCACACUGGGACUGAGACACGGCCCAGACUCCUACGGGAGGCAGCAGUGGGGAAUUUUGGACAAUGGGGGCAACCCUGAUCCAGCCAUGCCGCGUGCGGGAAGAAGGCCUUCGGGUUGUAAACCGCUUUUAGCCGGGAAGAAAAGGCAGAGGCUAAUACCUUCUGUUUUUGACGGUACCGGCGGAAUAAGCACCGGCUAACUACGUGCCAGCAGCCGCGGUAAUACGUAGGGUGCGAGCGUUAAUCGGAAUUACUGGGCGUAAAGCGUGCGCAGGCGGUUCGUCGUGUCCGAUGUGAAAGCCCCGGGCUCAACCUGGGAAUGGCAUGGGAAACUGGCGAACUGGAGUGUGGCAGAGGGGGGUGGAAUUCCGCGGGUAGCAAUGAAGCGCG
rnacentral:rRNA from 1 species